CAUGCUUUGGUUUUGGGAAACAGUGUCACACGCAGGUGUACCCUCUGAACCUCUGCAGGCUCCAGGCCAAGCCCCUCACGACUUGAACAAGGGGAGAGCGAGCUCCUGUCCCCCCCAACCCCACCGCGGCCACCCUCCUGCCUAUGGGACGCUUUCUAAACUGCCUGCCUUGUUUCAAAUUGAUGGUGAGCUGGCUGACCUUACUGUGUUUUCCGUGUGUGUCACGGGUUUUGAAGUCUCCAGGCAGAAAUGCCGGGCUGAGAAGUAUGGCUCUAAGGCAGGGAGAUAGGUCCUAACAGGAUGAGGGUGCUGUUAGCAGGGACAUGGGCCUCUGGAGGGAGGCGAGGCUCCCUUCUUUGGACAAGACUCAGGCCGGCUCAACUCUGCCUUGGGCCUCACAGUGACUGACGGGGGCUCAUUGUGAUGUGGCCUCAUGUCUGGUGCUCCGUGGGGACAGAACAGAAGACCAGCCUGUGGGGGUGCCUGCCACUUGCUGCAGAAAUGAAACCAGGCACGGCUGAGGCCGAACGCAGCACUGGGCACGUGGAGAGGGAUUUCAAAACGCUCACCUUUCGCAAGCCCUGAUUCCAUUAAUUCUUUGAAUCUUCCAAGAAGUCCACAGAGCAGGCAAAUUUCUCUUGGAUAAAAACCCAUGAAACCAGUCAGCCAUCAACAUCUUAGUACGAACUCAUCUAUCAGAGAGAAACGGGAAGGCAGAAAGCAAGAAGAAGGGAGACCCCUGGCAAGCUGCAUUUGCAGGUGGCUGGAGUACAGAAGGGGAGGUCUGGUCUGGAGAGUGAGUACCCAGGAGGCAGCUCAAGGGAACUUGGUUAAAAUGUACAGGCUCACAGGAAAGUAUGGCCACGAGGGGCCCAAGAGACCACCAAGUCUAACACUCCUAUUCUGGAAAUAAGGAUGCGAAAGCCCAGGGGAGUUAAGUGGCUACUCCCACGCCACGCAGCUAGUUAGACAAACAGUCCAGCUCUUUUUUUUUUUUUUCUCACUAGAAUAAGCAGCCUCUUCCCCGUCAUGCUUUGCUUGGGGCCAGCCCCUCCUCCUCAUUACUGGUUACUGGCCUCAAACUCCAAUCCGGACCCUCUCCUCAUCCUACAAGCCCCCUACGGGCCACAGAGGGCGGCAUUCUGCGACAGAGCAGGGAGCCUUCCUCUCCUGUGUGUGUUUCUUAGGUCCCCCUGAGGGGCAGGGCCACGAGCCACCACCUAUGGAAUCUAUACCUCUAGUUCAAAGCCAUUUACAAACCGAGGGCCGUGAAUUCUCAGGCUGAGGGUACCAAGACAAACCCAUUAGGCCACUGGACAGAGAGGCUAAGAAAGGCCCGUGAUGUCAUCACCUGCUGCCACCAUCAGAGUGCGCUCAUUAUGUGCUCAAAUGUGCACAGUGUCUCAUUGGCUGCGGGACAAAGCAGGUGCUGCCUCCAGGGGGCGGGCAGGGUGGGGCUGGAAGGUAGCUGCGGGCCCUCCAAGCUCUACCGCAGAGCCGCGACCUGUGUCUCCACAGCACCCUCAGAGAUCGGGUUCCUCAAAUGACUCAGAACCCAGAAAGCAAGGUUUAGAAGAAUUUGUUUGAGGGUGUUUUCUUACACCACGAAAACAUCUCUUGAGUAACCAUCAGAACAAACUUGAAAGAAAGAAAGAAAGAAAGAAAGAAAGAAAGAAAGAAAGAAAGAAAAAUAAAGAGAAAGAAAGAGAAAGAAAGAAAGAGAAAGAGAGAGAGAGAGAGAGAGAGAGAGAAAGAGAGAAAGAGAGAAAGAGAGAAAGAAAGAAAGAAAGAAAGAAAGAAAGAAAGAAAAAGAAAGAAAGAAAAAGAAAGAAAGAAAAAGAAAAACACAUUUAGGAAAACCAAGUUCCAGAAUACAGAGGAAAAAAAUAAAAGUUCACACGAAGGAGAAGUUCAUUUCUGAGAAGUUUUGAAAACUGAAAUGAUCAACCUGUUUGAAUGCGGUCAGGCAGUUCUUUCAUUUGGCUGUUUGAACAGGAUGAGGAGGAGAGGGGCGGCUAGAACCAAAGGGGAACAUGCGAACAAUGUUUUCUGCUCUGGUCCCUGGAUCUAAGCCUCUCAGGCUUACCAGACAAAAGUAACGGUCUCUAAGAUCUGAAGGUCUUUCUAGAUGGCAACAAAAAGCCAAUGUGAGGCCCUGCCCGCAGUCUCCCAGGGAUCUGGGCAAGCAAGUAGGAGCUGGUGCCUUCUGGAAGCCAGAGAUGAUUUCUUCUUUACCACGGUCCACAGCGAAACGAUCUGCAUUGGCCGCAAACUGAAAAGUCACGGAGUUCCUGUUUAAAUGCCACACGCCAUCAAUGGCCACAUGCCAGCCCCCUAUCUAAGCCUUCUAUUUAAGAAUGGAU